rnacentral:lncRNA from 1 species
AGGAAACGAACAUUUGAUAUUGCAUAAUAUUGAUAACAACAGUUAGGCUUUAGGAGGAGGAUACAAAAAGGGAAUUUUCAAUUAUAUUCAACUAAGUACAUUUGAUAUUUGCAUAAUAUUGGAGUUUCUUGAUAAAGAAAUCAAGAGGUACAUAAAGCUUGUAAAAAGAAAAUAUGUACUCCAGUUUCAAACUAUAAAUUAUCAUGCUCAAUUACUUGUGCUCCUCUCCACUCUUCACCAGGAUUCACAACAAGAGGAACCAACAUUGAAGCAGGGCCCGUGCAGAUAAAGUAUUCCUUCCCAUACUUGUCCGAAAAUGAACCCGGACUUGAUAGGUAAAUAUCUUCAAACCCCAUACGUAUUAUCCUGAAGAAGAGCUCACGGCCCUGGGAAAAAACAAAAAUGUUAUAAAGCGCGCCAUUAAUAGUAGAAACAGCAAGCAUGAUAAUCCACUAGUCUUUUGUUUUGAAUGUGAUAUACCUGAUCAAUUGUUUCAUAUUUUGAAGGUAUUGAAUUAUAAAAUUCCUUUGCUCUUUCUUCUGGUGGAACACUGUAAAGUCUACUGAGCUUGUGCUUCAAUACAGUGAUGGGAACAUC